GAUGAACGCUGGCGGUCUGCUUAACACAUGCAAGUCGAACGGAAUCCUUCGGGAUUUAGUUGCGGACGGGUGAGUAACGCGUGAGAAUCUGCCUUCAGGUUCGGGACAACAGCUGGAAACGGCUGCUAAUACCGGAUGUGCCGAGAGGUGAAAGCUUUAGUGCCUGAAGAUGAGCUCGCGUCUGAUUAGCUAGUAGGAGUGGUAAUGGCACCCCUAGGCGACGAUCAGUAGCUGGUCUGAGAGGAUGAUCAGCCACACUGGGACUGAGACACGGCCCAGACUCCUACGGGAGGCAACAGUGGGGAAUUUUCCGCAAUGGGCGCAAGCCUGACGGAGCAAGACCGCGUGAGGGAAGAAGGUCUGUGGAUUGUAAACCUCUUUUGAUGGGGAAGAAGACAGUGACGGUACCCAACGAAUCAGCCUCGGCUAACUCCGUGCCAGCAGCCGCCGUAA
rnacentral:rRNA from 1 species